CUUCUUGCUACACCCUCACGACUAAUGACAGUGCUUACUCCUUAAGGACUCUCAUUAGCCGCGCGAGUCACUGUAGCGGAAGAGAUUCAGAUUUUAGAAAACGACGUUUAAGUUGCUCUAUUUUGUUUCUUAAACACCGUUUUCUAGAAGAAAAGGGGCCCGAUUAGGCCCCUUUCC
rnacentral:sRNA from 4 species